CGUAGGGGGCAAGCGUUGUCCGGAUUUAUUGGGCGUAAAGAGCGUGUAGGCGGCCAGGUAGGUCCGUUGUGAAAACUAGAGGCUCAACCUCUAGACGUCGAUGGAAACCAUCUGGCUAGAGUCCGGAAGAGGAGAGUGGAAUUCCUGGUGUAGCGGUGAAAUGCGCAGAUAUCAGGAAGAACACCCGUGGCGAAGGCGGCUCUCUGGGACGGUACUGACGCUGAGACGCGAAAGCGUGGGGAGCGAACAGGAUUAGAUACCCUGGUAGUCCACGCCGUAAACGAUGAGUGCUAGGUGUGGGGGGUGUCGACUCCCUCCGUGCCGAAGCUAACGCAUUAAGCACUCCGCCUGGGGAGUACGGCCGCAAGGCUA
rnacentral:rRNA from 1 species